rnacentral:rRNA from 1 species
GUCGAACGAUGAUGCCCAGCUUGCUGGGUGGAUUAGUGGCGAACGGGUGAGUAACACGUGAGUAACCUGCCCCUGACUCUGGGAUAAGCGUUGGAAACGACGUCUAAUACUGGAUAUGAUCACUGGCCGCAUGGUCUGGUGGUGGAAAGAUUUUUUGGUUGGGGAUGGACUCGCGGCCUAUCAGCUUGUUGGUGAGGUAAUGGCUCACCAAGGCGACGACGGGUAGCCGGCCUGAGAGGGUGACCGGCCACACUGGGACUGAGACACGGCCCAGACUCCUACGGGAGGCAGCAGUGGGGAAUAUUGCACAAUGGGCGAAAGCCUGAUGCAGCAACGCCGCGUGAGGGAUGACGGCCUUCGGGUUGUAAACCUCUUUUAGUAGGGAAGAAGCGAAAGUGACGGUACCUGCAGAAAAAGCACCGGCUAACUACGUGCCAGCAGCCGCGGUAAUACGUAGGGUGCAAGCGUUGUCCGGAAUUAUUGGGCGUAAAGAGCUCGUAGGCGGUUUGUCGCGUCUGCUGUGAAAUCCCGAGGCUCAACCUCGGGCUUGCAGUGGGUACGGGCAGACUAGAGUGCGGUAGGGGAGAUUGGAAUUCCUGGUGUAGCGGUGGAAUGCGCAGAUAUCAGGAGGAACACCGAUGGCGAAGGCAGAUCUCUGGGCCGUAACUGACGCUGAGGAGCGAAAGCAUGGGGAGCGAACAGGAUUAGAUACCCUGGUAGUCCAUGCCGUAAACGUUGGGCGCUAGAUGUAGGGACCUUUCCACGGUUUCUGUGUCGUAGCUAACGCAUUAAGCGCCCCGCCUGGGGAGUACGGCCGCAAGGCUAAAACUCAAAGGAAUUGACGGGGGCCCGCACAAGCGGCGGAGCAUGCGGAUUAAUUCGAUGCAACGCGAAGAACCUUACCAAGGCUUGACAUACACCGGAAACGGCCAGAGAUGGUCGCCCCCUUGUGGUCGGUGUACAGGUGGUGCAUGGUUGUCGUCAGCUCGUGUCGUGAGAUGUUGGGUUAAGUCCCGCAACGAGCGCAACCC